rnacentral:rRNA from 1 species
UCGACCGGCAAACGGGAGAGUAACACGUAGCUUACCUACCCAUAGGUUGGGGAUAACAUCCCGAAAGGGGUGCUAAUACCCAAUAAUGAGGAGACUCCAAAGCCCUUAUGGGUGCCUAUGGAUGGGGCUGCGUCCCAUCAGCUUGUUGGUGAGGUAAUGGCUCACCAAGGCUACGACGGGUAACCGGUCUGAGAGGAUAACCGGUCACAGUGGGACUGAGACACGGCCCGCACCCCUACGGGGGGCAGCAGUGGGGAAUAUUGGGCAAUGGCUGAAAGGCUGACCCAGCAACGCCGCGUGGUGGAUGAAGCCCUUCGGGGUGUAAACACCUUUUCUGGGGGAAGAUAAUGACGGUACCCCAGGAAUAAGGGACGGCUAACUACGUGCCAGCAGCCGCGGUAAUACGUAGGUCCCAAACGUUGCGCGAAUUUACUGGGCGUAAAGAGUCCGUANNCGGUUUAGCAAGUGGUUGGUGAAAUUUCACGGCUCAACCGUGAAACUGCCUUCCAAACUGCUAAACUUGAGGCAGGGAGAGG